GGGCGAGUGGCGGAGCCGGUAUACGCGGAGGACUUAAAAUCCUCUGGCCGAAAGGCCUCGUGGGUUCGAAUCCCACCUCGCCCACCA
rnacentral:tRNA from 1 species